AAGUCGUAACAAGGUUUCCGUAGGUGAACCUGCGGAAGGAUCAUACUUGACUUUAGCCUGUGCUACUACACUGUGAACUGUAACUGCCAAUUGGCGGCUGAAAGGUCGCCUUCAGGCCAUUAUUUUAUUUACUGUAACUUUAAAUACCAGUAAUUAUCAUUUAUUAUACAACUUUUAGCAAUGGAUCUCUAGGCUCUC
rnacentral:misc_RNA from 1 species